rnacentral:rRNA from 1 species
AAGAGACAGCAGCAGCCGCGGUAAUACGUAGGUCCCGAGCGUUGUCCGGAUUUAUUGGGCGUAAAGCGAGCGCAGGCGGUUAGAUAAGUCUGAAGUUAAAGGCUGUGGCUUAACCAUAGUACGCUUUGGAAACUGUUUAACUUGAGUGCAAGAGGGGAGAGUGGAAUUCCAUGUGUAGCGGUGAAAUGCGUAGAUAUACGGAGGAACACCGGUGGCGAAAGCGGCUCUCUGGCUUGUAACUGACGCUGAGGCUCGAAAGCGUGGGGAGCAAACAGGAUUAGAUACCCCUGUAGUCCCUGUCUCUUAUACA